CUACGGGUCGCUGCAGUAGGGAAUAUUGCUUAAUGGGCGAAAGCCUGAAGCAGCAACGCCGCGUGUACGAUGAAGGCCUUCGGGUUGUAAAGUACUUUUUGCAGGGAUGAGGAAGGACAGUACCUGCAGAAUAAGCCUCGGCUAACUACGUGCCAGCAGCCGCGGUAAAACGUAGGAGGCGAGCGUUAUCCGGAUUUACUGGGCGUAAAGCGCGUGUAGGCGGAUUGGUAAGUUAGCUGUGAAAGCUCCCGGCUUAACUGGGAGAGGUCGGUUAAUACUGUCAGUCUAGAGUAUGUGAGAGGGAAGUGGAAUUCCGGGUGUAGUGGUGAAAUGCGUAGAUAUCCGGAGGAACACCAGAGGCGAAAGCGGCUUCCUGGCACAUAACUGACGCUCAGACGCGAAAGCUAGGGGAGCGAACGGGAUUAGAUACCCCCGUAGUC
rnacentral:rRNA from 1 species